UGAGGAACAAGUGGGACUGAGCCAGAGGCUGAGGACAUCACAAAAGCAGGAACUCCGAAGGCAUCUAGACUCUGACCACAGCUAAUGAAGCCGCGAGGAAUCGGCGUCAAUAAGGAGUAAAUGAACACCAGCUCCAGUUAAUCAGUAAGCACAGCUGCCUGCUUUCCUGCAUUCAAUUUCAGACUCACAUUAUGAAUUGCCUCCCGGGAGAAACCAACCCCCUCCUCUCCAAAAAGGCCUUGAUCCAAUAAACCAACUUUUAAUGGAGCGGCAUCUUUCAAUCGAAGGACAGCAACUUAUCUCUGGGUCCUAGCUGUGUGGUGACACGAAUUCUCUGAGCUGCCCAAGCUCACUCAAGGGAUUCCUAUGGCACUGGAUUGGCACCAAUGGCUAUCAGUAGGUGGAGCCCAGCAGUCUGCUUCGGCAAGUUUUCCAGGCGUGCUCCGGUGUGCUCAGACACUUCAUGCCUGGUGUCCAGCAGACGACACUAAUCCCCUGAAACACCAUCUCCAUGACCGCACAGUAGCGGCCCUGCGUCCAGCAAAUUGUCUGCAACUUGGCGCUCCUAGUGGAUUCUGCAUGUGUGGACUGCAGGCUUCUG